rnacentral:lncRNA from 1 species
CUGGGGCUUCACUUCAAGCACAAGGAGAAGAAGGGCAGCAGAAGAAGCAUCUUGUAUUAUUUCAUGUUCCUACAUCUGCUCACUGUAAAUCUCAUCUCUUGGGCAGAAAAUGGUUGUUGCAAAAGGAGGUGCAAACCAUGCUCUGAAAGGCUGAAAUCAUCAUUCUGGUACUUGAUCUGAAAAUUAGCAGGGAGGAUUUGCUGCAAUAAAUGGAAGGCAGAUGAAGGCCACAGAAGAAAGGGAUACACAGCAAGCAGGAACAUUCGUAUUUUCAAAUGUUUUGAUUCAUCCAACUUCUGAAUCUUAAAGAAGAACUUCAUGACAAGACAAAUUGUGCUGAAAUUUUCCAGCUGUAACUACUGGCGGCUUCCCUGGGUCAAAAUCUGAGAUGAGGUUCAGAGUGUGGUACCAGAAAGUCUUGUUUUUGCAUUCAAAUUCCCUGAAGUAUUCUUAGACUUUGUGUGAGGAUCCAGACUCCUAUCAGACAGUACAAAGGGAG